rnacentral:misc_RNA from 1 species
UUCGUUUCGGUUCGGUUUGUCUUUUGGGGUUCUUCUCGCCUUCGAAAGCGCCGUCCUUCUUCAGUGUUUUCACAUUUUCACGUACAGUUCAAUCGUGAGGUUCAGCCUAGUGAGUUCUGUGUAGUUAAGUCGGAAUAUUUCGUAUAGUUCUCGUCGACUGUCGUCUGACAUUUGUUCUUCUAUUCCGAAACGCUGCAUUGAAAUACAAAAAUAAUACAAACUAGAAUAUUCAACAAAACAAAAAACCAAGGAAACGAAAAACCAAUUAAAAUUUUAACAAAAUAAUAACUCGCUUCAAAAUAUAUUGCAAAUAUAUCAACAAAUUUAAUCAAAUCAAAUUCACCAACAAAUCGAAAACAAACUCUAUUAAUUCGUUUACUCAAAAAUCCAAAAACACAAAACAACCAAAAACCGAUUCAAAUAUAUAACUGUUAAAUCUAAACGAGCAGGCGAUCUACUGGGAAGCGAGAGAGGAAGGGCAUCAGCAGCAGCACUACUACACGCGUGUGUGUUUAAAUACUGGAAAAUACAGAUAAGAUAAAUUAUUAUAGACACUCACGAGUACAUUUAGAGCAGACCAAACCCAGAGACAGACAACCGCAGAGAAUCAAAAGCACUCCAAGAGCAAAUCAAUAAAACAAAAACAAAACCCAAACAACAACAAAAAAAACAACAACAGAAACAACAGAAACAAAGAGAAAAAGCAACUCAAAAAACAAAAUUUUAAAAAAAGUGUUACCAAAAAAAACUUAAAAAAAAAAGAAAAUUAUUUAAAAGACAAAACCCGUACUCGUAACGGUGCAGACAACUGAAAAUACCCAGUGAAAAUUCAGAAAAGCGUUGACCAUUUUUUCUCGCAAAGGCGCCACGUCCAAGAGCAAAUCGUUCCAUAUGGUUCAUAUUAUUGAAUUGGUCGGCCAGCCGAAGGUUGAGUUUGCUCAACAAGUUACUAUGAACCGUGCUUUACAGCUGAAGCCAGCUGAAAAUGAAAGUCGCAGCGAGCAUCUAGAUCGCAAGCUCUUCGUUGGCAUGCUCAGCAAACAACAGACCGAAGACGAUGUUAGACAAAUCUUCCACCCGUUCGGCUCUAUAGAGGAGUGCACCAUAUUGCGGGGCCCGGACGGUACGAGCAAAGGCUGCGCAUUCGUCAAAUUCGGAACGCAACAGGAGGCUCAGUCAGCAAUAGCCAAUCUACACGGAAGUCAAACUAUGCCGGGUGCAUCCUCCAGCCUGGUCGUCAAAUACGCCGACACAGAGAAGGAACGACAAAUCAGGCGCAUGCAACAAAUGGCCGGUCAUAUGAACCUGCUGAAUCCGUUUGUCUUUAAUCAGUUCAGCCCGUACGGCGCCUACGCUCAGCAACAGCAGCAAGCCGCUCUGAUGGCUGCCGCUGCCACCGCGCCUGGCUCGGCAGCCGCCUACAUGAACCCCAUGGCCGCCCUGGCAACGCAAAUACCUCAUGGCUUGAACGGCACCGGACAGCCGCCCUCUUUGCCCUCGCCGACCAUGCCCAACUUCAGCAUGGGCGCCAACACGCCCAACGGCCAGCCCGGUGGAGCUGCCGCGGCUGCAGCAGCUGCUGCGGCGGACGGGGUCUUCACGAACGGCAUUCCACAAACGGCAUUCCCAGGACAUCCGCUGCAUUUGACUAUACCACCACAAGGUCUGCCAAACGGCGAUGCUGCUACUCUGCAACAUGCCUUCCCUGGGCUGCCACCGUUUCCAGGAGUUGGAUGCUCGAUAUCCGGUCCAGAGGGCUGCAAUCUCUUCAUCUACCAUUUGCCCCAAGAGUUUGGCGAUGCGGAGUUAAUGCAAAUGUUCCUGCCCUUUGGCAAUGUGAUCAGCUCCAAGGUCUUCAUCGAUCGUGCUACAAACCAGAGCAAAUGCUUCGGUUUCGUGUCCUUCGAUAAUCCAGCCAGCGCUCAAGCGGCCAUUCAGGCCAUGAAUGGCUUCCAGAUUGGCAUGAAAAGACUGAAAGUUCAAUUGAAGCGGCCAAAGGAUGCCAGUCGACCCUAUUAACAAUCGGAGUUCCUUAAGUGUAAUUCGCAACAACUACAACUACUUCCUGGAGCACCAACAACAGGAGUAGUCGCAGGAGCAGCCAUGCCACAAACUACAACACAAUUUGCAACAGCAGCAGCAGCAGCAGCAACAGCAUCCACAGCAACAGCAACAGCCACAGCAACAACCACAGUGCACCACUAUAGUCACAGAAGCAGCUUUAGGCCACCAUUUCCCAAUGACAACUCCACUCAUAUGCCGGUAUCAAUUCGCCAGCUGGCGCGAAAUGGUGACCUACUGCUAUCGCUAUAUAGUACCCCGCCAGAAACACUUCCUCCCCAGCCCCAAAAAGCAACCAACAACAGCAACAUCAGCAAGGACAACAACAACAGCACCAACCAACAACAACAGCACCAACAAACACCCACCAGCAGCACCACACCAAACAACAAUAGCAAGCACUGCAGGCAGCAGAAUGGACCGAUUCCCAUCCACAUCCAACUCAACCGGACAUGGCAUCCAAUAGCAACCAGAAGGAACUAUCCAAAGUGGAAUAAGUCGAAAAACUGUUCAAGUGGCAGCAACAAAAGCGAAAGACCUAAAGCCACCAGGACCCCACAAACAGCAACCAUGACAACUGCGACAACAAUAACGAGCGACUACUGAAAGGAUGGUCUUCACCAUGCUAAGUGAAAUGAUUAUAAAAAUUAAACACAUGCAAAAUCGGUGUGUAAAAAAACCUAAAAUAAUAGUAAACAACCAAA